GCCUUUGUCUACAAAUGUGUAUUAUAGUAGUAUACUAUUUUAAGAAUCUCUUCUAAUAUUCCCUGUGUUAUUUCUAAACACUGGCCAUUCCCCUCUUAUAGCUCCUUGUUUGAGAUGUGACUGCUUGCUCUGGCCACUAAUAUCUGCCAUUCACCGCCAGGUUCUCACUAGAAGGGAUUCAGUGCAGAAAUUGCCUUGCCCAGCCACCAUCAGAGAAGCUCUCUUUGCAAUGGAUGAGAACAAAUACAGAGACUCACAGACAGAAAAUAUUCAGAGAGUGAGAAAACCUUGGAAUACUCAGCCUUACAUGAUAUGUCUCCAUUGUUCCCCCACCACACCCAGGGCUCAAGGAACUCUGAAGAAGAGGAGAAAAGAGAGUAAGAAACAGAAAAGAAGAAAGACACAAGUAAACAAGACAGACCCUCCAAAUCAACAGACUCAAUGAACAUAUGAACUCACACAGAGCCUGAACAAGCUGCACUAGAUGAGGUGCUAGACCUAAAAGAAGUGGACAAAAGCCCCCAGCUCUAACCAGGAAGUUAUCUCCAAAAGGGAGUCUCACUGAGAAAAAUAACCACUCUUAAUGGUAGGCCCCCAUGCACAGCAGUAGAUGACCAACACAAAACUAACCUAGUGGGAUCUUUGGAGAAUUUUGUCUAUAAUGUUGAGUCAGGAGAUUUUUGCUUUAUUCUCUUUCUUUCUUCCUUUCUUUCUUUCUUCUUUUCUUUCCCCACUUCAUAGACCCCUUGCAUAUGGAUUCAGGUUUUAUGUUUUUAUAGGAUUCCUCUGUGUGCAGACAAGUGUGUCUAUGUGACUGUAUGUGUUUCUUGAGCUUUUUCUUUGACUCUUUUUCCUGUUUGUUUUGUCCUAUUCCAAUUUGUUUGUUUUCUGUCUUAUUUUAUUAUUAUUACUUAGAUUCCUUUUUAUUUUCUAAAAAGAGAUUUUUAAAAUGGUGUGGAUCCAGAUAGGAGGGGAGGUGGAAAGCAACUGGGAACAGCAGGCAGAGGGGAAACUGUAAUCACAAUAUAUGGUAUGAAAAAAAUUUUCAAUUAAAAAUAAAAAUAAAGGAAACUAGGGACUAAGAUAAAAAUAAGAUAAAACAAAAAAGAAAAUGGAAAUUAAGAGGGUAAACUAGUCAGACAAUUAACCUGAAUAGUGGUAGUAUAAGAGACUGAGGGAAACUAUGCAACAUUUGAGAGUACUUACAGUGCAGUGGUGUUACAGAAAAUAUCAAGAUGAACACAUACAUGGGUAGUGGAUUACCAGUAGUUAUGAAAUUUCUCUGAAAAGAAAAAAGUUCUUUACCACUGUUGAUGGAGUUUCUGUGUCACUAGGUCCCACUGUUUAGUCCCAAAUAAAUACACAGGGGUUUAUAUUAAUUAUUAACUGUUUGGAAGAUGGCUCGGGCUUCUUAUUCCCAAGCUCUCUCUUAAUUACUAACCCAUUUCUAUAAAAUCUAUUUAUUCUAUGUAGUCUUGGCUUACCAGAGAAUGCCCAGUCGUUCUAUCUUCCUGGUAGCUACUUGGCUUCUCCCCCUCAACUCCUCUCUUCAUCCCUCUUCUUGCCUUCUCCUAGUCUGGUAGCCCCACCUAUACUUCCUGUCUGGCUACAUCCUGCCUGUCCAUUGACCAAAACAGCUUUAUUCAUCAACCAAUAAGAGAAACAUAUAUUCACAGAAUACAGAUGGACAUCUCCCAUCAACCACAGCAUCACCAACUUAAGAUAUGUUAAAAACAAGCAGCUUUCACAGUUGCAAGUGAGCCACUGACAACCAAAGGUCAAGGGCAUUACUAUUAUAUACCCAGAA
ensembl:lncRNA